rnacentral:rRNA from 1 species
GACGAACGCUGGCGGCGUGCCUAAUACAUGCAAGCUGAGCGCUGAAGGUUGGUACUUGUACCAACUGGAUGAGCAGCGAACGGGUGAGUAACGCGUGGGGAAUCUGCCUUUGAGCGGGGGACAACAUUUGGAAACGAAUGCUAAUACCGCAUAAAAACUUUAAACACAAGUUUUAAGUUUGAAAGAUGCAAUUGCAUCACUCAAAGAUGAUCCCGCGUUGUAUUAGCUAGUUGGUGAGGUAAAGGCUCACCAAGGCGAUGAUACAUAGCCGACCUGAGAGGGUGAUCGGCCACAUUGGGACUGAGACACGGCCCAAACUCCUACGGGAGGCAGCAGUAGGGAAUCUUCGGCAAUGGACGAAAGUCUGACCGAGCAACGCCGCGUGAGUGCAGAAGGUUUUCGGAUCGUAAAACUCUGUUGGUAGAGAAGAACGUUGGUGAGAGUGGAAAGCUCAUCAAGUGACGGUAACUACCCAGAAAGGGACGGCUAACUACGUG